UUGCAUGUAGUAGAAGUAUAAUACAUUGGGUUUAGGUCCCGAAGGUGGGCUAUAGCCCCAUGUAAU
rnacentral:tRNA from 1 species